UACGUAGGGCGCAAGCGUUGUCCGGAAUUAUUGGGCGUAAAGAGCUCGUAGGCGGCUUGUUGCGUCGGAUGUGAAAGCCCGGGGCUUAACUCCGGGUCUGCAUUCGAUACGGGCAGGCUAGAGUUCGGUAGGGGAGAUCGGAAUUCCUGGUGUAGCGGUGAAAUGCGCAGAUAUCAGGAGGAACACCGGUGGCGAAGGCGGAUCUCUGGGCCGAUACUGACGCUGAGGAGCGAAAGCGUGGGGAGCGAACAGG
rnacentral:rRNA from 1 species